rnacentral:rRNA from 1 species
GUUGAACGCUGGCGGCAUGCCUUACACAUGCAAGUCGAACGGUAACAGGUCUUCGGAUGCUGACGAGUGGCGAACGGGUGAGUAAUACAUCGGAACGUGCCUAGUAGUGGGGGAUAACUACUCGAAAGAGUGGCUAAUACCGCAUGAGAUCUACGGAUGAAAGCAGGGGAUCGCAAGACCUUGUGCUACUAGAGCGGCCGAUGGCAGAUUAGGUAGUUGGUGGGAUAAAAGCUUACCAAGCCGACGAUCUGUAGCUGGUCUGAGAGGACGAUCGGCCACACUGGGACUGAGACACGGCCCAGACUCCUACGGGAGGCAGCAGUGGGGAAUUUUGGACAAUGGGCGCAAGCCUGAUCCAGCAAUGCCGCGUGCAGGAUGAAGGCCUUCGGGUUGCAAACUGCUUUUGUACGGAACGAAAAGCCCUGGGUUAAUACCCUGGGGUCAUGACGGUACCGUAAGAAUAAGCACCGGCUAACUACGUGCCAGCAGCCGCCGUAAGAC